GAUAAACAAACAUUUAAUUAAAUUGCGACAUCGCAGGCUAAAAUUCAAAAACAGUUACCGAAACGGAGAACAAAUUAAUAGCAAGAAAGUCAACAUAAACGCAACAAAACACGCAGAGGCACACCGCCAAACAUACAUUCCGAAACAAAAAAAGAAAGGAAAACCCAUGAUCGAAAUUCCGAAUCUAUAAGCCAUCAAGUAAAGAAAAGAACAAUCACCACCGGAAAAGCAACAUUCAAAUCCAAUUUGCGCAUCAAUGGAGCGAGAUUUAGAAUGAAAGAACAUAUAAAACAAGAUUCAGCAUAAAUCAGAAGAAUUACCACAAAGGAGAGUGGAAGAACACAGAGAAGAGAAUGGCCGGAAUCUGGAAAUCUUUCGGUACAAUUACCAGGCCAACGAUGGAGUGUUCAAACACGGCACGAUGGAAUUGGAAGAUAGUGACGCCAACGCAUUGGUCCUCUAAAAUUUUUUUACCUCAAAUUAUAAAUUUAUUCUCAUAAUUUUGUUAAAAUACAAUGUUAUUCUUUUAUCUGUAUAAUAAAGUUUUUAAUUUUU